CCCGGGCGCCGGAGCGCAGAGACCCACCUCCCCACCGCAUCAAUCCUUGCCCGCACCCGCAGCAGCCCCAGCAGCAGCAGCAACAGCAAGCAGCAGCAACAGCAGCAGCAGCAACAGCAGCAGCAGGCUCAGCUCUCAGCUCUGCCCUUCCUCCUUAACACACUCUCCAAGUGACGUGGCAGGCCCCGCCUGCUGCCCCCUCCCACCCCACUCUCACAUCACACCCCUUACCCAGCUAGGGGCUGCAGCAAGCCUGGAUGCUGGAGAGAGAGAGAGAGAGAUGCACACUUGCCUUCCCGGUAAUCUUUCCCGCGCUCUCCUGGCAUGCCUCUUGCUUUCUCACAUUCACACGCACGCCCCCACCCCCACCCCCACCCCAACCAAGCCGCAGUAUCCUAAUAACACACCCACUCCAUCCUCCACAAAUCGUCUCCUCUCAUUUCUGUUCACCGGGCUGACCUACGCAGUGUAUUUCAUCAAAAAAGAAAUCACACGCUAGCCCCCCACACACCCUGCCCAAUAAGCUAUACUCAGCACCUGACCCCUCAAACGCUGUUUACUGGGGGGGUGGCGGGCGGGGGACCCAUGUUUUCUAUAUCCACGAAGACACAUUUGCCAGUUUCAACCUCUACUGGGGGUUGGGGGGGGUGAAGUAUUUUUAAAUGUCUUGAGAGCUUUCCAUCUCGGCUGUGUCCCAGUGUUAAUUCCCCAACAGACUCUCACUUCUACAACCUGGAAAGGCAAGGCCGAAUCUCACCUUCAAGGCAUAGUGAAAGUAAGAGGGCAGGAAAAACCUGUUCAUGCCCAGUGAGUAGGAAACCGUCCUCUCAUGGUGUCCAGAAGACAUCCACCAUCAUCUCCAUGAUAAAGCACCAGGAGGCUAUGUUACUGAAGAAACACUAUAUAAAGGAAUGGCAGCCAGGAAUCUUUGCUCCAAGCCUCCCUAGGGGGGAAAGAAAAAAAGAAAAGAUUGUGCAAUUUACAUUUAUCUAUGUCGAGAAAGGGGAGGGAAGGAUAAACAAAAAGGAGGUACAAUACAAUGUCAAUAAACAAUACAGCCAUCUAAUGAGCAUCUAAUAGACACAUUUUAAUCACUUUACCAGAAUGACAGCCUCCCUUUCUAGGCCACCGAGACUCAUUUGGUAGGAUUUGGAUGGGACAAAAUACUCUGCCUCUCUUAGAAUUCGAGGAAGAUUUCCCAUCCAUUCUCCCAGAGACUUUAGAGAGCUUCCUCCCUAGAUCACAUAGAGGGUACAUCUUAGUGUUUCAGACUACCACAUCCAGGUUGCUCGCUCUUGACUUCCUGUGGCCACAGCAGAUUGGCUGCCAAUGGCCAGUGCUUCUGUGCAGCUGCUUCCUCGUAAGGAAGAGCGUCCGUAGGAUAAGGGUGGGAAUGACACCUUAGAUUCUCCCAAGCCAUGAGAUACACACGUGGGUUCUUAGCCAUACGAUAUACACAGACUGUUUUAAAACCAUAGCAGUUUCCACAGCAGGUGCUUGCACAGGGACGAGGCAGGGGAGGAAAGAGCUCCUGGACCCGCAAGGAGGAAAUCAAGUGGAGAUGAUGCUGACUUCAACAAACCCUGCUGCUUGUGCUCUCGCCCGUCCCUCCCCAGGUCUACCUGCAGCAGCCUCUGCCUCUCUUGUAUUUGCCUUGGUCUCCACUCUUCCCCUAGCCUUGCACAGUUCAGUGAAGGGUGAGAGAGCAAGUGUUCUGCAUUUACCCAGUCGAUAAUUUUCCCAUUUGCAGGCUAUGUAAUUAAGCCAUUUAGACAUCACACAGAAGUUACUCCACUCAAAAGAAAAAAAAAUAAAAUAAAGCGACAACAAACACGGUAUAGGGGACACAUUCCCACCCUUGUCCUAUGCUCCACGAGUAUUUCCUGG
rnacentral:lncRNA from 1 species